rnacentral:rRNA from 1 species
UGCAGUCGACGGAGAAUUUCAAUAAGCUUGCUUAGAGAAAUUUUUAGUGGCGGACGGGUGAGUAACGCGUGGGUAACCUACCCAUAAAGCCGGGACAACCCUUGGAAACGAGGGCUAAUACCGGAUAAUCUUAAGCUUUGGCAUCAAAGUAUAAGGAAAGGUGGCCUCUGAGUAUGCUACCGAUUAUGGAUGGACCCGCGUCUGAUUAGCUAGUUGGUGGGGUAAAGGCCUACCAAGGCGACGAUCAGUAGCCGGCCUGAGAGGGUGAACGGCCACACUGGGACUGAGACACGGCCCAGACUCCUACGGGAGGCAGCAGUGGGGAAUCUUCCGCAAUGGACGAAAGUCUGACGGAGCAACGCCGCGUGUAUGAUGAAGGUCUUCGGAUUGUAAAGUACUGUCUUUGGGGAAGAAUGACUGGUUUGAAAAUAUUGAGCCAGUAUGACGGUACCCAAGGAGGAAGCCCCGGCUAACUACGUGCCAGCAGCCGCGGUAAUACGUAGGGGGCAAGCGUUGUCCGGAAUUAUUGGGCGUAAAGGGCGCGUAGGCGGAUGUUUAAGUCCGGUGUGAAAGAUCAGGGCUCAACCCUGAGAGUGCAUCGGAAACUGGGCAUCUUGAGGACAGGAGAGGAAAGUGGAAUUCCACGUGUAGCGGUGAAAUGCGUAGAUAUGUGGAGGAACACCAGUGGCGA